UUACCGGUACUAAAGUUCCGAUACUUUAAAAAUCCUCAAUUGACUGCAAUUUACAGAGCAGCAGUUCGCAACCUCCGUGAAAAAUGAGUAUUGGAAACGUCUUGAAUAUUAUUGCAUUCAUGAUGUUUGCAGCGACGACAAUUCCAGACGCAAAAUUGAAGUGUAACCCAAUGAUUUGUCUUUCUGAAUCUAAGCCAUAACUAUCUUGCUAAAUAAUUAAACAAUAUCUCUCUUGAAA